CUCCCCCUCAAGCUGGAGCAGAACAAAGAGUGAGAAGCCGCGAGACCUCAGAUCAUCGUGCUACCUUGCACGAGAGGGUCGCAUGACUCACGCGAGAGAGUCGCCUGACUCGUGCGAGGUGGGUCGCGCUGAGGUGAGUCGCGCAACCUCGCGCGAGAGAGAGAGAGAGGAGUCACGUGCGAGAGAUCGGUUCAGAGGCAAGCCACAGCGCCGGCGAGAUGUUCCAGCGAGUGGUCGACGGCGGCGAGUGGCUGCUCCGUCGGCUAGGGUUAAGAACCUUGCUC